AGGACGAACGCUGGCGGCGUGCUUAACACAUGCAAGUCGAGCGGAAAGGCCCUUCGGGGUACUCGAGCGGCGAACGGGUGAGUAGCACGUGAGCAACCUGCCCUUAGCUUCGGGAUAGCUCCGGGAAACCGGAAUUAAUACCGGAUAUGACUAUGGCCGACAUCAGCCAUGGUGGAAAGUUUUUCGGCUAGGGAUGGACUCGCGGCCUAUCAGCUAGUUGGUGAGGUAACGGCUCACCAAGGCGACGACGGGUAGCCGGCCUGAGAGGGCGACCGGCCACACUGGGACUGAGACACGGCCCAGACUCCUACGGGAGGCAGCAGUGGGGAAUAUUGCGCAAUGGGCGAAAGCCUGACGCAGCGACGCCGCGUGGGGAUGAAUGCCUUCGGGUUGUAAACCCCUUUCAGCAGGGACGAAGCGAAAGUGACGGUACCUGCAGAAGAAGCGCCGGCUAACUACGCGCCAGCAGCCGC
rnacentral:rRNA from 1 species